UACAGAGGGGGCGAGCGUUAUUCGGAAUUAUUGGGCGUAAAGGGCGCGUAGGCGGCUUGACAAGUCCAAGGUGAAAUCCCUCGGCUCAACCGAGGAACUGCCUUGGAAACUGUCUGGCUCGAGGCCGGGAGAGGGUAGUGGAAUUCCCAGUGUAGCGGUGAAAUGCGUAGAUAUUGGGAGGAACACCGGUGGCGAAGGCGGCUACCUGGACCGGAUCUGACGCUGAUGCGCGAAAGCGUGGGGAGCAAAC
rnacentral:rRNA from 1 species